GUCUGGCCGGCUCAGUUGAUAGAGCGUGCGACUCUUGAUCUUAGGGUUGUGAGUUUGAGCCUCAUGUUGGAUG
rnacentral:tRNA from 1 species